rnacentral:rRNA from 1 species
UACGGAGGGGGCUAGCGUUGUUCGGAAUUACUGGGCGUAAAGCGCACGUAGGCGGCUUUGCAAGUUAGAGGUGAAAGCCCGGAGCUCAACCCCGGAACUGCCUCUGAAACUGCAGGGCUAGAAUCUUGGAGAGGCGAGUGGAAUUCCGAGUGUAGAGGUGAAAUUCGUAGAUAUUCGGAAGAACACCAGUGGCGAAGGCGACUCGCUGGACAAGUAUUGACGCUGAGGUGCGAAAGCGUGGGGAGCGAACAGG